AUUCAAUUAGUUUAAAAAACAUUAUUUUUUCACAAUAAAAAUGAAAAUUUUUAUUUUCAUUGAAUU
rnacentral:tRNA from 1 species